AUUGAACGCUGGCGGCAGGCCUAACACAUGCAAGUCGAGCGGAUGAAGGGAGCUUGCUCCUGGAUUCAGCGGCGGACGGGUGAGUAAUGCCUAGGAAUCUGCCUGGUAGUGGGGGAUAACGUCCGGAAACGGGCGCUAAUACCGCAUACGUCCUGAGGGAGAAAGUGGGGGAUCUUCGGACCUCACGCUAUCAGAUGAGCCUAGGUCGGAUUAGCUAGUUGGUGGGGUAAAGGCCUACCAAGGCGACGAUCCGUAACUGGUCUGAGAGGAUGAUCAGUCAACCUGGAACUGAGAAAAGGUCCAGACUCCUACGGGAGGCAGCAGUGGGGAAUAUUGGACAAUGGGCGAAAGCCUGAUCCAGCCAUGCCGCGUGUGUGAAGAAGGUCUUCGGAUUGUAAAGCACUUUAAGUUGGGAGGAAGGGCAGUAAGUUAAUACCUUGCUGUUUUGACGUUACCAACAGAAUAAGCACCGGCUAACUUCGUG
rnacentral:rRNA from 1 species